rnacentral:rRNA from 1 species
GAUCCUAGCUCAGGACGAACGCUGGCGGCAUGCCUAACACAUGCAAGUCGAACGGAGAUAUUUGGAAGCUUGCUUUUGGAUAUCUUAGUGGCGGACGGGCGAGUAACGCGUGAGCAACCUGGCCUUCAGAGUGGAACAACGUCUGGAAACGGGCGCUAAAUACCGCAUAAUACAAGAGAGUCGCAUGGCUUUUUUGUCAAAGGAGAAAUCCGCUGAAGGAUGGGCUCGCGUCCGAUUAG